rnacentral:rRNA from 1 species
AACGAACGCUGGCGGCUGGCUUAACACAUGCAAGUCGAACGCAUCCUUCGGGGUGAGUGGCAGACGGGAGAGUAACGCGUGGGAACGUGCCCUUCAGUUCGGGAUAACCAAGGGAAACUUGGGCUAAUACCGGAUACGUGCGAGAGCAGAAAGAUUUAUCGCUGAAGGAUCGGCCCGCGUCUGAUUAGCUAGUUGGUGGGGUAAUGGCCCACCAAGGCGACGAUCAGUAGCUGGUCUGAGAGGAUGAUCAGCCACAUUGGGACUGAGACACGGCCCAAACUCCUACGGGAGGCAGCAGUGGGGAAUAUUGGACAAUGGGCGCAAGCCUGAUCCAGCCAUGCCGCGUGAGUGAUGAAGGCCUUAGGGUUGUAAAGCUCUUUCGUCCGGGACGAUAAUGACGGUACCGGAAGAAGAAGCCCCGGCUAACUUCGUGCCAGCAGCCGCGGUAA